GACGAACGCUGGCGGCGUGCUUAACACGUGCAAGUCGAACGAUGGAGCUCCUGCUUGCAGGAGUGGAUUAGUGGCGAACGGGUGAGUAACACGUGAGUAACCUGCCCCUGACUGCGGGAUAAGCCCGGGAAACUGGGUCUAAUACCGCAUAUGACACCUGGCCGCAUGGUCUGGGUGUGGAAAGUUUUUCGGUUGGGGAUGGGCUCCCGGCCUAUCAGCUUGUUGGUGGGGUAACGGCCUACCCAGGCGACGACAGGUAGCCUGCCUGAGAGGGCGACCGGCCACACUGGGACUGAGACACUGCCCAUACUCCUACGGGAGGCAGCAGUGGGGAAUAUUGCUCUAUGGGGGAAACCCUGACGCAGCGACGCCGCUUGAGGGAUGACGGCCUUUCGAUUGUAAACCUCUUUCAUUCUGGAAGAAUCCUUCUUGUGACUGUCCCUGCCGAGGAAUUUUCGGCCAACUACAUGCCAUUAGCCUCGGUUAUUCGUAGGGUGCUCUCUGUUGUGCGAGAUAAUUGGUCUAAUGGAUAUUCUACGUGGUUCGUCGCGUCUGCUGUGGAAACGCAAGGCUCAACCUUGCGCGUGCAGUGGGUACGGGCGGACUAGAGUGCAGUAGGGGAGUCUGGAAUUCCUGGUGUAGCGGUGAAAUGCGCAGAUAUCAGGAGGAACACCGGUGGCGAAGGCGGGACUCUGGGCUGUAACUGACGCUGAGGAGCGAAAGCAUGGGGAGCGAACAGGAUUAGAUACCCUGGUAGUCCAUGCCGUAAACGUUGGGCACUAGGUGUGGGGCUCAUUCCACGAGUUCCGCGCCGCAGCUAACGCAUUAAGCGCCCCGCCUGGGGAGUACGGCCGCAAGGCUAAAACUCAAAGGAAUUGACGGGGGCCCGCACAAGCGGCGGAGCAUGCGGAUUAAUUCGAUGCAACGCGAAGAACCUUACCAAGGCUUGACAUACACUGGAAUGUGCCAGAGAUGGUUCAGCCCUUUUGGGCUGGUGUACAGGUGGUGCAUGGUUGUCGUCAGCUCGUGUCGUGAGAUGUUGGGUUAAGUCCCGCAACGAGCGCAACCCUCGUUCUAUGUUGCCAGCACGUGAUGGUGGGAACUCAUAGGAGACUGCCGGGGUCAACUCGGAGGAAGGUGGGGAUGACGUCAAAUCAUCAUGCCCUUUAUGUCUUGGGCUUCACGCAUGCUACAAUGGUCGGUACAAAGGGUUGCGAUGCCGUGAGGUGGAGCGAAUCCCAGAAAGCCGAUCUCAGUUCGGAUCGUAGUCUGCAACUCGACUACGUGAAGUCGGAGUCGCUAGUAAUCGCAGAUCAGCAACGCUGCGGUGAAUACGUUCCCGGGCCU
rnacentral:rRNA from 1 species